ACUCCUACGGGAGGCAGCAGUGGGGAAUAUUGCACAAUGGGCGCAAGCCUGAUGCAGCCAUGCCGCGUGUGGUGAAGAAGGCCUUCGGGUUGUAAAAGCCACUUUCAGUUCGUGAGGAAGGUAGUGNGGUUUAAAUUAANUGGCCAAUUUUAAUUUUGGACGGUUUAAGCGGACCNGAAAGGAAAGGAACCGGGCCUAACUCCGUGCCAGCAGCCGCGGUAAUACGGAGGGUGCGAGCGUUAAUCGGAAUUACUGGGCGUAAAGCGCAUGCAGGUGGUUUGUUAAGUCAGAUGUGAAAGCCCGGGGCUCAACCUCGGAAUUGCAUUUGAAACUGGCAGACUAGAGUACUGUAGAGGGGGGUAGAAUUUCAGGUGUAGCGGUGAAAUGCGUAGAGAUCUGAAGGAAUACCGGUGGCGAAGGCGGCCCCCUGGACAGAUACUGACACUCAGAUGCGAAAGCGUGGGAGCAAACAGGAUUAGAUACCCUGGUAGACUGUCAU
rnacentral:rRNA from 1 species